rnacentral:rRNA from 1 species
GACGAACGCUGGCGGCGUGCCUAAUACAUGCAAGUAGAACGCAGUUGCGAACGGGUGAGUAACGCGUAGGUAACUGCCUCAUAGAGGGGGAUAACUAUUGGAAACGAUAGCUAAUACCGCAUACUGUGAGCUGGACCUGCGUUGUAUUUGCUAGUUGGUUAGGUAAAGGCUCACCAAGGCGACGCUACAUAGCCGACCUGGGGGGGUGAUCGGGCACACUUGGACUGGGGAACGGCCCAGACCUCUACGGGAGGGAGCAAUUGGGAAUCUUCGGCAAUGGGCCGAAGGCUUGCCAGACAAACGCGGGGUGGUGAAGAAGGUUUUCGGAUCGUAAAGCUCUGUUGAUAGAGAAGCGGUAACUAACCAGAAAGCGACGGCUAACUACGUGCCAGCAGCCGCGGUAAUAC